GAGUUUGAUCAUGGCUCAGAUUGAACGCUGGCGGCAGGCUUAACACAUGCAAGUCGAGCGGUAACAGGGGAAGCUUGCUUCCCGCUGACGAGCGGCGGACGGGUGAGUAAUGCUUAGGAAUCUGCCCAGUAGUGGGGGAUAGCCCGGGGAAACCCGGAUUAAUACCGCAUACGUCCUACGGGAGAAAGCAGGGGAUCUUCGGACCUUGCGCUAUUGGAUGAGCCUAAGUCGGAUUAGCUAGUUGGUGGGGUAAAGGCCUACCAAGGCGACGAUCCGUAGCUGGUCUGAGAGGAUGAUCAGCCACAUCGGGACUGAGACACGGCCCGAACUCCUACGGGAGGCAGCAGUGGGGAAUAUUGGACAAUGGGGGCAACCCUGAUCCAGCCAUGCCGCGUGUGUGAAGAAGGCUUUCGGGUUGUAAAGCACUUUCAGUAGGGAGGAAAACCUUAUGGCUAAUACCCAUGAGGCUUGACGUUACCUACAGAAGAAGCACCGGCUAACUCCGUGCCAGCAGCCGCGGUAAUACGGAGGGUGCAAGCGUUAAUCGGAAUUACUGGGCGUAAAGCGCGCGUAGGUGGUUUGGUAAGCG
rnacentral:rRNA from 1 species